UGAAUAACGUUCUAUCUCCCUCCCUCUCUCCCUGUCUGUGUGUUUGCUCAGGCUGAGAUCUACAAGGCAGAUUUCCUAGCAGAGCGAGAAGCGCGAGAGAAGCUGAACCAGAAGAAGGAGGAGCUGCAGGAUCAGCUGACUCAGGCCCUGACUGAGAUUGACAGGCUCAAACAGGAAGCCACAUCUCGCGCACGUAUGGAGCAAAUGAAGCUGAGGCACCUGGAAGACUUUCCAACACGGGCCCCAUACAAUCCCCCUCCACAAGCUUUCAACACGGUGCCCCCUGCCCCCUCGUUCCGCAAUCAGGGUUUGAUACCAGUCGGUGAUCAAGGGGCAGUCGGAGCUGAGGAGCUGCCAGAUUUAUGUUGUCCUAAGUGUCAGUACCAGGCUCCAGAUAUGGACACUCUGCAGAUACAUGUCAUGGACUGUAUACAGUAACAUGGGCAUAGUUCAGCACAUACAUACAGACAUAUACAUACAGCAUAUUUACAUUUUUGAUGUACCUUGUGUCCACUCCCAGUCUCUGGGCACAGCCUGGAAAAAGUUAUGGUUGUUGCACCUUACUCUCUCUGCCAUGUAAACACACAUACACAAACUGAAUACAUACUGUGGAUCGUACCAUUUUAAAAAUGUAAUAUGUUGGAAUCGAGACAAGUGGCAAUCAGAUGACAGUAUGAACAAUUGAAAGAAAAGAAUAACAUAAAGAUAAUCAGCAUGGUAUGUUCCUAGAAAUGCUCAAAGAAUUCAAAUUCUGCUGUAGCUUUUCCAUUCUGCAACCCAUCCUUUUCACGUCACUUUUUUUU